rnacentral:rRNA from 1 species
UCCGGUCUGAACUCAGAUCACGUAAAGUUAACUAGUCGAACAGACUAAAUCAGGCCUGAACUACCAGGCCUUAAACUUUAAUUCAACAUCGAGGUCGCAAUCACAAGUAAAUUUAUGAUCUUCUAACUUGUUAUAGCGCUGUUAUCCCUAGGGUAAUUUUACUUUAAUUUAUUUUAAUCUUAAAUAAACAUCUAUAAUGUUAUUAUUUGGAAAAGUUUAUUUUUCUAAUUUCCCCAACUAAACAAUUAAUUAAUUAAUUGUAAAGAUCCUAGGGUCUUCUCGUCCCUUUGAUUAUCUUAAGCAUUAUGAAUUAAAAUUUAAUUUUUUAAAUUUUAGUGUUUAUAAUUUAUCAAUAAUCCUCCCUUUCAUCCUAGACCUUAAUAAGAGGACAAUUGAUUAUGCUACUUUAACACCAAAGCGGCUCUUUAAAAAUUCAGUGAGCAGGGCCGACCCAAAAUUUUAAAGAAGAGGGACAUGUUUUUGUUAAACAGGCGA